GGUUAAGCGACUAAGCGUACACGGUGGAUGCCCUGGCAGUCAGAGGCGAUGAAGGACGUGCUAAUCUGCGAUAAGCGUCGGUAAGGUGAUAUGAACCGUUAUAACCGGCGAUUUCCGAAUGGGGAAACCCAGUGUGAUUCGUCACACUAUCAUUAACUGAAUCCAUAGGUUAAUGAGGCGAACCGGGGGAACUGAAACAUCUAAGUACCCCGAGGAAAAGAAAUCAACCGAGAUUCCCCCAGUAGCGGCGAGCGAACGGGGAGCAGCCCAGAGCCUGAAUCAGUGUGUGUGUUAGUGGAAGCGUCUGGAAAGGCGCGCGAUACAGGGUGACAGCCCCGUACACAAAAAUGCACAUGCUGUGAGCUCGAUGAGUAGGGCGGGACACGUGGUAUCCUGUCUGAAUAUGGGGGGACCAUCCUCCAAGGCUAAAUACUCCUGACUGACCGAUAGUGAACCAGUACCGUGAGGGAAAGGCGAAAAGAACCCCGGCGAGGGGAGUGAAAAAGAACCUGAAACCGUGUACGUACAAGCAGUGGGAGCCUCUUUAUGGGGUGACUGCGUACCUUUUGUAUAAUGGGUCAGCGACUUAUAUUCUGUAGCAAGGUUAACCGAAUAGGGGAGCCGAAGGGAAACCGAGUCUUAACUGGGCGUUAAGUUGCAGGGUAUAGACCCGAAACCCGGUGAUCUAGCCAUGGGCAGGUUGAAGGUUGGGUAACACUAACUGGAGGACCGAACCGACUAAUGUUGAAAAAUUAGCGGAUGACUUGUGGCUGGGGGUGAAAGGCCAAUCAAACCGGGAGAUAGCUGGUUCUCCCCGAAAGCUAUUUAGGUAGCGCCUCGUGAAUUCAUCUCCGGGGGUAGAGCACUGUUUCGGCAAGGGGGUCAUCCCGACUUACCAACCCGAUGCAAACUGCGAAUACCGGAGAAUGUUAUCACGGGAGACACACGGCGGGUGCUAACGUCCGUCGUGAAGAGGGAAACAACCCAGACCGCCAGCUAAGGUCCCAAAGUCAUGGUUAAGUGGGAAACGAUGUGGGAAGGCCCAGACAGCCAGGAUGUUGGCUUAGAAGCAGCCAUCAUUUAAAGAAAGCGUAAUAGCUCACUGGUCGAGUCGGCCUGCGCGGAAGAUGUAACGGGGCUAAACCAUGCACCGAAGCUGCGGCAGCGACGCUUAUGCGUUGUUGGGUAGGGGAGCGUUCUGUAAGCCUGCGAAGGUGUACUGUGAGGUAUGCUGGAGGUAUCAGAAGUGCGAAUGCUGACAUAAGUAACGAUAAAG
rnacentral:rRNA from 1 species